ensembl:snoRNA U3 Small nucleolar RNA U3
AAGACUGUACUACUGGGCACCAUGUUGAGAAUUCACUACUAGAGGAGUUUCCCCGAAACUGUAGAGCACUGGAGAUCACCAAAUGUAGAGGAAGUGCUCUCCUCUUGAGUGUGAAACUGGCUCUCCUGAUGUGCCACUGGGGCUGGUAUUUGCCACUGAUGAAUGUGCUUCUUUCCUUUAAGCAGAGGCAGAGAGGCAGAGGGGGAGAAAGCCCCGAGUAUA